GUAUUGGUGAGGUGCCCGUACCGCAAACCGACACAGGUAGAUGAGGAGAGAAUCCUAAGGCCAGCGGGAGAAGGGUUGUUAAGGAACUCGGCAAAUUGACCCCGUAACUUCGGAAUAAGGGGAGCCUCCCACGGGAGGCCGCAGUGAAAAGGCUCAAGCGACUGUUUACCAAAAACACAGGUCUCUGCUAAAUCGAAAGAUGACGUAUAGGGGCUGACGCCUGCCCGGUGCCGGAAGGUUAAGAGGAGAGCUUAGCGCAAGCGAAGGUUUGAAUUGAAGCCCCGGUAAACGGCGGCCGUAACAAUAACGGUCCUAAGGUAGCGAAAUUCCUUGUCAGGUAAGUUCUGACCCGCACGAAUGGCGUAACGACUUGAGCACUGUCUCGACAGCCCGCCCGGCGAAAUUGUAGUACCGGUGAAGAUGCCGGUUACCCGCAACUAGACGGAAAGACCCCAUGGAGCUUUACUGUAGCUUAAUACUGAAGAUUGGUAAUGCAUGUAUAGGAUAGGUGGGAGACUAAGAAGCCCGGCCGUCAGGUCGAGUGGAGUCAUUGUUGGAAUACCACCCUUGUGUUGCUGGUUUUCUAACCUGCCGCCAUGAAUCUGGUGGGGGGACACUGUUAGGUGGGCAGUUUGACUGGGGCGGUCGCCUCCAAAAAGGUAACGGAGGCGCUCAAAGGUUGGCUCAGCACGGACGGGAAUCGUGCACAGAGCGCAAACGCAUAAGCCAACUUGACUGCGAGAGAGACAUUUCGAGCAGGUACGAAAGUAGGAGUUAGUGAUCCGGCGGUAUGCAAGUGGAAGUGCCGUCGCUCAACGGAUAAAAGCUACCCUGGGAUAACAGGCUGAUCUCCCCCAAGCGUCACAGCGACGGGGAGGUUUGGCACCUCGAUGUCGGCUCGUCACAUCCUGGGGCUGUAUUCGGUCCCAAGGGUUCGGCUGUUCGCCGAUUAAAGUGGCACGCGAGCUGGGUUCAGAACGUCGUGAGACAGUUCGGUCCCUAUCUGUUGCGGGCGUAGGAGAUUUGAAGGGGGCUGUCCUUAGUACGAGAGGACCGGGAUGGACAGACCUCUGGUGCACCAGUUGUCGUGCCAACGGCACAGCUGGGUAGCUAAGUCGGGACGAGAUAAACGCUGAAAGCAUCUAAGCGUGAAACUUUCCCUAAGAUAAGAUCUCCCAUCUCUUCGGAGAGUAAGGGACGAUGAAGACUACAUCGUUGAUAGGUCGGAGGUGUAAGCACAGUAAUGUGUGUAGCUGACCGAUACUAAUAACCCGAGGGCUUGACC
rnacentral:rRNA from 1 species